UACCAGCACCCCGAGUGGUCGGGACGUUUAUUGGGCCUAAAGCAUCCGUAGCCGGUUCUACAAGUCUUCCGUUAAAUCCACCUGCUCAACAGAUGGGCUGCGGAAGAUACUAUGGAGCUAGGAGGCGGGAGAGGCAAGCGGUACUCGAUGGGUAGGGGUAAAAUCCGUUGAUCCAUUGAAGACCACCAGUGGCGAAGGCGGCUUGCCAGAACGCGCUCGACGGUGAGGGAUGAAAGCUAGGGGAGCAAACCGG
rnacentral:rRNA from 1 species